rnacentral:tRNA from 1 species
GCCCGGCUAGCUCAAUUAGGCAGAGCGUGAGGUAAAUGAUCUCAAGGUUGUGGGUUCGACCCCCACGUCGGGCU